GACGCUCAUCCGUCGAAGGACGCAUGGUGUGUGGAACAAGCGUACAUAGGCCUACCUGAUCGCGUUCAUUUGUUCGCCUCCCUCCACCUCCCUCUCUCUCCGGUGCAUAUUUAAGCCACUUCUUCAGUGUCCCUGAAAAAACAAUAUGGGUGGUCCCUGGCAGCUGUUUUUGGAGUGCAGCUGAAAGAAAGAAAGAAACAAACAAACCCGGUCAAGAAUUACCAACAUGGCGACGGCAGCUUGAUGGACGAAGCGGCAGCUUCUGGUGCUACCGGCCUCAACAUCUCUCUCCUAAGCGCCCUCACUUCACUCCCCAGCUAACCAAGACCCUCACGUCACCGUGCACGUCCCACGCUGCACCUGGAGGAAGGUGGUGCGCGACUGCCUUCUGGAGGCGGUUAUGAUCGUAAGAACUAGGAGGCCAGAAACAAUUCCAUGACUCCCCUGCCUCCUCCAACCAGCUGCUUGGCACUAUGAAGACAAGGAAUUAGGAUUGGUGAAGAAGAGGGAUGGCAACAUAAUGGUUUUGGUCUGGAAAAAGCACACAUUUUCUGCUGACAUCCCCAAGGAGCUCAACCUCAAGAUCAUCUACCAACGUAUGGACCUGAAAACAGCCUAUUCGAGAGGAGGGGCAGGGAUAUGUGAAAUGGGAUUCCUUGUACUCAAAUCGUCUGUAGAUGAUGAAGACUGAACCAGAGGAUAGCACAAUGUUUUGGACCAGUCCAAUAUCCUGUCCUACUGCUAUGCAGUUGUUCCCGGUCUUUGUUGACAGGCAGAAAUCUGUUGUUACUACCUUUCUGUACUGUUUGGCAGUACUGAAUUGCAGAGGCAAAGGACCAUCCUGGUGCAUUUCGUACAAAAGGGGCUGCUUACUUGGAGGUGGAGUAACAGUUUGAGGCACCUCUGACAGUCUCUUGACUACCUGUUGUAAUGGUAGUUGAGGCUUUCGCAACAUUUUUUUUACUUUUCCAAGGAAGUUUUCAUAAGGAAAUGCAGAGACACGGUCAAGGGCACCAAACUGUUUGUACACAUCAGCUAGAUGUAUCACCUGAUGAACUGUAAAUACAAUUUCUCCUUGACCAUAUAAAUCUCCAAAGCUUUUAACAAAUGCUGUUAGGACUCGAUUGGCAAAAUCAAUCAUGGGUGCAGAGAGGUUGGGGCUGAGUAAUAAGAACACACCCACGGAAAACAACAGGAAGUUCUCAAAAAUCUCUUCUGGUAGAUUGUGCUUUAGGACCACAGGUCCACUGUACAUCAUGAACUGCCUUAGUUCUGUAGCCUUCCAUCUUUCGAUCUCUGUCAGCUCUCGUGGUUUUCGGGCAAAUUCAGAUGGAAUAUGGGGACGGAGAGCAAUCAGUUUAGAUGAUAUAGCUGAGAUGACAUUAGAUGGCUGUCUUAUGGCCAGGUUUUUGCCCUUCAUCCAGAAAAUAAUGAGUUUUUUUGUUACACCCAAACAGCAGAGGUGCAUGUAAUCAAUGGGAAACUGGGUUACCAUCUGAACAAUGCCAGUAAGGGGACUAGGUCGCAGGUGGUGAUCUGUGUCUGACAUUAAAGCAAAGUCUUCGUCUGAUCUAAGCCUGGCAUUUAUUUCAGGAUAUGUCAUUUUAUUUUGCC
ensembl:lncRNA